ensembl:lncRNA
GUUUGUUGAGGGGUUAAAAAACCUUGGUUUACUGGAGGAGCUGAGGAAGAAUCCGGCAGUGUUCUACAACAUGUUUGUCAGUGCGGAGAUUCCACUACAGGCGAAGGACCUAUGCACUUUAUUUGACGUGGACUUCUCUGUGCAAGGCAGCAACAGGAGAGACAGAGAAAACAUGACAAUAUGCUUUUGGCGUGACUGGUUAAUUGAUAUUGAAGAAGGAGAAUGCAGUCCAGUCACCCUAGAGAAGGUAUUGGAGUUUACAUCUGGAGCUUCAACAGUGCCUCCACUGGGAUUUCCACACCAUCCACAAAUUCAGUUCCUUCAUGAGGGCAACAAAAUAUUCCCAGAAGCAAAUACUUGUAUUCUUGUACUCCGCCUGCCACUGCACUCUUCCUAUGAAGCCUUCAAACAAUACAUGAUGGAGGGAAUUUUGCAAGCUCCAACCUUUGGACUUGCAUGAUGUCACUAUGUGUAUAAAACUAAUUAAUGAAAAUUCAGUUUUCACUUGAGCUAUAUUUGUGCUUGGAAGUUAUUGAACAGAAUGCUGUUGAAGCAAGUCACUGGUUCAGAUGUUAAUUUUAGAAUCUCAUGCACUUUAAAAAAAAUAAUAAUUAGAUGCAGUAAUCCUGUUUAUUUUGCAUGAGUAACAGUUCACUUCAGUUGAUUGGCAGUUAUUCAAUAUUGAGCUUUUCAGCUAACUCAAACUUUUGUAGUUUUUUUGCUUUAAAUUAUUUUUGUUAAUAAUUUUAUAAGUUAUAAAUUUAUAUAUUUUAUUUGUUUUGAAAAUGUAUUUUAUCUUUAGGUUUUACGAGACAUAUAUUGGGCUUAUAGUUCAUGGUUACUAUGAUGACACUGAGGUUGAUCUAAUGAAUUAGAUAUCCUUUAUUAACCAACUGUAAGGAAUAAUUGGGCUUAUAAUUCAAUGAGUUUGAUGAAACCACGCAUAACAGCCAAUAUGUUUGGUUAAUGUACAUGUUGAUGAAUACACAGUGAAUACAGAGAAGGCAAACAAAAAGUCUGGCUGGUUUGCUGGAUGUCAACCUCAACAGCUUAUCAUAGUAACCUGUCCCCAUCACGAAUCAGUCUCUGUUCCAAUUAGUGGAUUGAUGUUAAGGUAUUUUUGGCAGUUAAACCUCUCUCCUCAACUGUUAAUCUAAAAAUCUCAUUCAAGCCAUUAAACAUUCUAUGUUUUCAUACAUUACCAGUUUAUUCAUCUUUUUUUUAUUCAUCUUUGCAAUCCCAUUCAAAAUAGUUAGAUCCUUCUCCAAUUUUCCAAGGAUUCAUAUUGAAUUUUCUUUUUCAUGCAUUUUCAAAUCUUUCAUGCAUUUUCAAAUCUUCAUAUUCCAUUUAAACCUUAAGAUGUUUAACAUUUUUCAUACAUUAAGAGUUUUAUUCAACAUUUAAAUCUCAUUCAUACUAAUUAGAUGCUUUUCCACUUUUUCUACGAAUUAUAACACAAU